CCAGUAGUGGCUUGACUUUGGGGAUUGAGCCCAGGGAACUUCUAGGAUUAUUGUCCCCCUUACCUGCAGCCAAACUCCUAUAUACCGCCCAAGCUUGUUCUAGCGAGAAGAUAAAGUGUGACUAUUUGGCCCACAGGCACAAUCCAUGAAGUUCAACAGCUUUCACUAAUAGGAACAUCUUACGGUAGCCGGGCAGUGUUGGCUGUGGCCGGAGGAAACAAGGAUAAAUCUUUCCUCAUGUCCAAAGCAAUUAAAAAGUUGAUAAAAGUGCACCAAUGUGUCUCUUGGAAUCCUUUUCCCAGAGACUAUUGGUCAGUCUGGGAAAAGGAUUCCAAGAGACACAAUCAAUGUGCUUCUCGAAUGAUUAAUUUAGGAAUUGACAAUUAGGCAAAGGGGUGCUUUUACACCUAUAAUGGCAUACCCUUAUUUCAAAUGUGAGUGAUACCUGAAUUAUUGUCCAGGAAUUAGUUACUCCUAAAUGUUAUGUUUUAGUUUUUUAUAGAUCCUCAAAACUAUUUUGGAACAGUUUUGUUACAGCUCCUGUGUGAUUCAAACUGUGUGUUCGAAUCACAACAGUGUUCCCUGUCUGCUGGGUCAUGUGGUGCAGCGAGCUAGAGAUAUACUAGAAGCCAGAGCCUUUCUGCUCUGGUACCAGCACUAUGGAGUUGAGCAAUCAGACUUCCAGCAAGCUCUUGACACAUGCUGCACCCAAUGACAAAUAAGGCAAAUAAUGUGUUGUGGAUGAUAGUGUUGGUUAUUUUUUUAAUAACCCAUUAAGGUGCUUUUGUAAAGUUAAUUUGUAGUGUUGCUAUUAGAGCUGACCGAUCGGCGGGCCGAUAUAUCGGCAGGCCGAUAUUAUUGGACGAUAUUAGGCAUUUUCCUAACUAUCGGUAUCGGC